CACGUAGGGUGCGAGCGUUGUCCGGAAUUAUUGGGCGUAAAGAGCUCGUAGGCGGUGUGUCGCGUCGGCCGUGAAAACCUGCAGCUUAACUGUGGGCUUGCGGUCGAUACGGGGCAUCACUGGAGUUCGGCAGGGGAGACUGGAAUUCCUGGUGUAGCGGUGAAAUGCGCAGAUAUCAGGAAGAACACCAAUGGCGGAAGGCAGCUCUCUGGGACGG
rnacentral:rRNA from 1 species